rnacentral:tRNA from 1 species
GUGGCUAUGGUGUAGCGGUUAGCACUAGAGUUUGUGGAACUCUCAGUUCGGGUUCGACUCCCGAUAGCCACC